GGACGGCGGCGUUUGGUGGGGGAGGGGGGGCUGACGGGAAGCAGGCCGCUGGCCGGGUCCUUCUCGUGGAUCUUCAUAUGUCUGAGGAAGAGGAAGAGAGACAUGAAGCCGACAGCUCAUUCAUCUUGUUGCUGAACAGAAACAGAGGAAGAAGAGGAGGAAGAGGAGGAAGAGUGUCGUCGUCUCAAAGGAGGGAAAUCAGCUUCUUAUUGACUCAGAGGAAGUUAGGAGGAGGAGGAGGAGGAGGAGGAGAUGAAGAAAAAUCAAACAUGCAGCAGCCACAGAGCCAAUCGCAGCUCAGCACACCGCUGACCGCCCAUAAUAGGCUAAUAGGAUGCCUCGCCAUGGCAACCAGGCCUCUCACCCAGGAAGAGAGGGCAGACCGGGAGCCGACAGCGGGCCGACAGCGGGCCGACAGAGAGAAGAGGGACAGAAAGAAAAUUAAGUUUAAAAAAAAAGAAAAAAAAAAAGAUAGAAAAGUUUUUUUUACUGAACUAAACAUUUAAUUUGUGUAAUUAAUUUUUGUUUAACCAAAUUAAAACAAAGCUCAUUUUUCCUCCAGUAAACCAGCGACCCUUGAACUCAUCGCCGCUUCAGCUUCUCUAACGUCUGGAUGGAAAAAGCAUCUGUCCUCGGUGAAGCUCGUGCGACGCCUUCAGGCACUCACACAGAAAACUCGAAGAACUAGUUUCACAUUUCAAGGAUGCUCGGCUACAAAAUGGAUUCCCCCUUUGUAGGAAACACAUUUCCACUUUCUCUCCUGCUGAAUCAGAAGUUUUGAGCCUUCAGGGUUUUUUCUUUUUUUCCUUAUUCUCCAUUUUUCUAAAUUUGUCUCUUUUUACUGGAAACAAAACAUUUCACAUUUUUGCCAAACAAGGAUGAGAAUUCAUCAUCACAUCUGUUCCUUCCCUCUUUCCAUCCAUCGCCUACGUCUCACCCUCAUCUUCUCUUUCUUUUUGUCCCCCCCCCUCCUUCUCUCUCUCUCUCUGCCUGUUUGAAGACGGUCGAGUAGGAAAAUCUCGCGUUUCACAUUUCAAAGGAUGCUCUGCUGCAAAAUGGAUUCCUCCUCCCUCCCUCCCUCCCUCCCUCCCUCUGCUCUUCUUUUCCACUCUCCAUCCGAACAGGCCUCCUCUUUAUUUUCCUACAGCAGCAUGUAAAACGCGGCCUCGCAGAGAGAGGCAGGAAAAAAAAACUGGAGCUCGAGUUCGACUUUCCUGUUUUACUUCCACCCUCUCCUGCAGUUUGCAUUGUAAAUGAGCAGAGUAUAACAGAGGCGACGAGGUGCAGGGUCUCGUCCCUCCUCCUCUACACGUCUCUUUUCUUUCUGUUUUAUAAUACUUGUAGGAUUUCUGAGAAAAUGACGCAACCAGUUUCCAGGGUGUGUUGAUGGAAAUCAGCAUCCAGAUUGUCGGCAGGCGGCGGGAGGCCGUGUUAUUCCCUCAGUGUGAGCUCAGUUUGUCUUUCAGAGGGAGAGUCACGCUACUGCGGAGACUCGCCAAACCGGACCGUCGGGUUCAAGCUGCGGCAGGACGAGGCGAGAGCAGGAGGUUCCAACGUGAAGGGAUGCAGCGGCAGAGAAACAGCUGCUGUCGACACCUCGCUCUCCUUUUAACCUUUUUCUCAUCCAACUAAAGGUGAUGAGGCGUUCAUGGGUCGUAGUCAUUCUAGCCUUCAGGCAUCUUUAUCUGGCUGCAUCUGAUCUAUUUUUCUACAUUUGUCUCUUUUAUAAUAAAAAACAUCAGUUACAGCCACUGUCAGUCUUCCAUUGUUGUUAUUUUUACAGCGUGAUGUCGAGGACAAACACAGUUUUCCAUUCGGUUCCUAGUAACUAACUAUUCACCAAAUGUCUCGCUGCCAAACACCAAAACACUCUGAGCACAAACACAAACAAACAGACAGAGGAAAAAAUGAUUGAGAAAACUGCAGCGACACGGAGCAGAUGUGUGUGUCCGUCCCUCAGCCUACAGUCAUUCCUUCCUGCCCACACCUCCUCAUACCAGCGCCGUGACCGAGACCGCCUCAGCCGCAGAACAUGAACAGGCUGCACAUCAUCAACACUCGCACUGCAGCUCACUCACUCACUGACUGACUGACUGGUUUCUAUCCAUCUGCAACUGCUCACAUCAUCAUCAUCACGGGUCACUACAGAGCAAAUGUCUUCACAUUAAUCUGUAUUAAAACUGAAUUAACUUAUAAAACUGACAAAAACCACCUGAU